rnacentral:rRNA from 1 species
UACGUAGGGGGCAAGCGUUGUCCGGAUUCAUUGGGCGUAAAGAGCGUGUAGGCGGUUCGGUAGGUCCGUUGUGAAAACUCGAGGCUCAACCUCGAGACGCCGAUGGAAACCCCCGAACUAGAGUCCGGAAGAGGAGAGUGGAAUUCCCGGUGUAGCGGUGAAAUGCGCAGAUAUCGGGAAGAACACCCGUGGCUAAGGCGGCUCUCUGGGACGGUACUGACGCUGAGACGCGAAAGCGUGGGGAGCGAACAGG